AUUGAACGCUGGCGGCAGGCCUAACACAUGCAAGUCGAGCGAGCGGCGGACGGGGGAGUAAUGUAUGGGGACUGCCCGAUAGAGGGGGAUAACUACUGGAAACGGUAGAUAAUACCGAAUACUAUCGGAUAACCCAUAUGGGAUUGGCUAGUAGGUGAGGUAAUGGCUCACCUAGGCGAAGAUCCCUAGCUGGUCUGCGAGGAUGAGCAGCCACACUGGGACUGCGACACGGCACAGACGCCUACGGAGGCAGCAUUGGGGAAUAUUGCACAAUGGGCGCAAGCCUGAUGCAGCCAGGCCGCGUGUUUGAAGAAGGCCCUAGGGUUGUAAAGUACUUUCAGUCGGGAGGCGUUACCGACAGAAGAAGCACCGGCUAACUCCGUGCCAGCAGCCGCGGUAAUUC
rnacentral:rRNA from 1 species